rnacentral:rRNA from 1 species
GGGGGGGGGGGGGGGGGGGGGGGGGGGGGGGGGGGGGGGGGGGGGGGGGGGGGGGUUGGGCCGGGGGCGUGGGCGGCGGGCGGGGGAGGAGCACGUGGGUGACCUGCCGAUAAGGCUGGGGUCACUGCGGGAAACCGGCGCUGCUACCGGGUAAUAUCUUGCGCCGCAUGGUUCCAUCGUGAACGACGGUUUUGCUGUCACUUAUAGCUGGCUCCGGGCCGCAUUCGCUAGUUGGUAAGGUCACGGCUUACCACGGCAACGAUGCGUCACCGCCCUGAGAGGGUGAGCGGCGACACUGGAACUGAGACGCGGUCCAGACUCCUACGGGAGGCAGCAGUAGGGAAUCUUCCGCAAUGGGCGAAAGCCUGACGGAGCAACGCCGCGUGAGUGAUGAAGGUCUUCGGAUCGUAAAACUCUGUUAUUAGGGAAGAACAAAUGUGUAAGUAACUAUGCACGUCUUGACGGUACCUAAUCAGAAAGCCACGGCUAACUACGUG